GUGGGGAAUAUUGGACAAUGGGGGCAACCCUGAUCCAGCGAUGCCGCGUGGGUGAUGAAGGCUUUCGGGUUGUAAAGCCCUUUCAGCGGGGAAGAUGAUGACGGUACCCGCAGAAGAAGCCCCGGCUAACUCCGUGCCAGCAGCCGCGGUAAUACGGAGGGGGCAAGCGUUGUUCGGAAUUACUGGGCGUAAAGCGCGCGUAGGCGGUCUGUCUAGUCAGACGUGAAAGCCCCAGGCUCAACCUGGGAAAUGCGUAUGAAACUGGCGGACUAGAGACCGGGAGAGGGGAGUGGAAUUCCCAGUGUAGAGGUGAAAUUCGUAGAUAUUGGGAAGAACACCGGUGGCGAAGGCGACUCCCUGGACCGGCACUGACGCUGAGGUGCGAAAGCGUGGGGAGCAAACAGG
rnacentral:rRNA from 1 species